AUACGGAUGCCACAAGCGUUGUUCGGAAUCACAGGGCAUAAAGCGCGCGUAGGCGGCGACGUGAGUCAGUUGUGAAAUCCCCCGGCUUAACCGAGGAACUGCAACUGAUACUGCGUUGCUAGAGUGCGGGAGGGGAGAGCGGAAUUCCUGGUGGAACGGUGAAAUGUGUAGAUAUCAGGAGGAACGCCGGGGGCGAAAGCGACUCUCUGGUCCGCAACUGACGCUGAGGUGCGAAAGCUAGGGGAGCAAACAGGAUUAGAAACCCCAGUAGUCC
rnacentral:rRNA from 1 species